rnacentral:lncRNA from 1 species
AUUCUUUUCUCAAAUUCACUUAAUAUUAUCUGUUACUAAUAUGGAUCAGUCUGAUUUAUUAUGAGUGCAUUACUCAUUCAUACUCUCUUUUAAAAUUAGUGAUACCUUCCAUAUUCUUCAAUGCUUAAUCUUCAAAUAUAAAUACACCUCACCUAUUUGUGUUUUAUGCAACUUUCAUUCAACCCCAGCAAAUCAUGAGAUAUGGGUGCUACCUGUAUUCCUUUUGUCAUUUAUUUUCAUAUCUUGCAUCCAAACUUGCUCUGAUAAAUUACUAUUUGGGUUUUUAAUUGGCGGAGACUACUAACAUAACAUUUGAAUUAAAUUAUGUAAUAAUUUUUUAUUUAUUAUGAAAUCUUUAGGAAAAUCAAAUCUGAUUCAUCAUAGAGACUACAAA